GUCCGGAUGAUGCAGUGGUUAACGUAACUGCCUACUAAGCAGGAGGUGCCGGGUUCGAAUCCCGGUCUGGCACA